rnacentral:rRNA from 1 species
UACGUAGGGGGCUAGCGUUGUUCGGAAUUACUGGGCGUAAAGCGCACGUAGGCGGCUUUGUAAGUUAGAGGUGAAAGCCCGGGGCUCAACUCCGGAACUGCCUUUAAGACUGCAUCGCUAGAAUUGUGGAGAGGUGAGUGGAAUUCCGAGUGUAGAGGUGAAAUUCGUAGAUAUUCGGAAGAACACCAGUGGCGAAGGCGACUUACUGGACACAUAUUGACGCUGAGGUGCGAAAGCGUGGGGAGCAAACAGG